UACGGAGGGUGCAAGCGUUGUCCGGAUUUAUUGGGUUUAAAGGGUGCGUAGGCGGCUCCUUAAGUCAGCGGUGAAAGCCCGGGGCUCAACCCCGGAACCGCCGUUGAUACUGGGGGGCUUGAGUAUGGACGAGGUUGGCGGAAUUGAGGGUGUAGCGGUGAAAUGCAUAGAUACCACCAAGAACCCCGAUUGCGUAGGCAGCUCGCUAGGCCGAAACUGACGCUGAGGCACGAAAGCGUGGGGAGCGAACAGG
rnacentral:rRNA from 1 species